rnacentral:rRNA from 1 species
UACGAAGGGUGCAAGCGUUACUCGGAAUUACUGGGCGUAAAGGGUGCGUAGGUGGUUUGUCGCGUCUGCUGUGAAAACCUAAGGCUCAACCUUGGGCUUGCAGUGGGUACGGGCAGACUAGAGUGCGGUAGGGGUGACUGGAAUUCCUGGUGUAGCGGUGGAAUGCGCAGUUAUCAGGAGGAACACCGAUGGCGAAGGCAGGUCACUGGGCCGCAACUGACGCUGAGGCACGAAAGCGUGGGGAGCAAACAGG